GGGCUGCUGCGCUUGGCCGCUGCCGCGUCCUGGCUCCUUGGUUCCACGCUCUGGCAGCUUCCCGGCUGGACACGUGGGUUUUACGACAGCACAAAAUAGAUUUUCUGAACCUGGGAAACGUGCUGUUCAGACUUCAUCCGGGUCUCAUUCAGGAUGCUUCGAUGUUGGUUGGAAGAGAGUUAGACCGAAAAUGUUUUGACUGGCGUCGUUAUGACAAGGUCAUCCGUCAUUGUUGGAUAGAUUGAUAGCACCCAAGUUUAAGGCAGACACCACGAGGGAAAGCCCACGGCGCUGUGGUCCCGGAGGCUAACCAGGCAGUGUCCGCAGACCUCCAGCAACUCCAUCGGGAGGAGAGGAUGAAGUUCCAGGCCCGUUUCAAUUAAUCUGCUCGCAGAACUGCCGAAGAGUGGCUUGUCGGGCCACGGGAGAAGAAACAAAUGCUCUUUCUCACACUCUCCUGGUUCAUUGCUGAGAAACCAGGACACUCCUCUGUUCCCUGGGAGAGACAGUGAACUCCAGGGAUGGAAGUCCGGACUCCGGCGGCGGUCCCGUCAUUUGCCUUCUUGUUUCUGCCCAAACCCAGCUAGUUCCAAGCGCUUGGUCCCCAAGACUGGAAGUCCCCAAGAACCUACCUCUACCUGUCCCAACCCUGCCUCCCCCCUACCCUUUCACCCCCUGCCACCAUUAGAAAGUCUCUGGAUUUUGAAAUGCUAGUUGCAGCAGCUGCUUCCGUGGCCUCAUGCCGCCCACACUCUGGGAAGCGGAGGAGGGAGGGUUCCUCUCGUAAUAAGA
ensembl:lncRNA PRDM6-AS1 PRDM6 antisense RNA 1